rnacentral:rRNA from 1 species
UACGAAGGGUGCAAGCGUUACUCGGAAUUACUGGGCGUAAAGCGUGCGUAGGUGGUGAGUUAAGUCUGUCGUGAAAGCCCCGGGCUCAACCUGGGAAUGGCGAUGGAUACUGGCUCGCUAGAGUGCGGUAGAGGAGAGUGGAAUUCCCGGUGUAGCAGUGAAAUGCGUAGAGAUCGGGAGGAACAUCAGUUGCGAAGGCGGCUCUCUGGACCAGCACUGACACUGAGGCACGAAAGCGUGGGGAGCAAACAAG